ensembl:lncRNA
AUGCAAGAGGAAAUCUUGUCCCUGAAACUGCGUAUGUCGGAGCAGGAGGAGGUUCUUAAGGGGACGAUUCAAAGACUGAGGAGCACCAGCCGCACCAAGGAGAACAUGGAGCACUUCAUAGUCAACCAGCUGUCAAGAACUCGUGAUGUGCUAAAGAAAGCAAGGACAAAUUUAGAGCUGAGGACCCUGGAGGUGCUGCCAGAGAGCGGCCGGCUGAUCGCAGUUUCCUGAAGGCCAGCGGCGCUUCCGGAGCUGCAGCCAAUCAACGUCCAGCAGCGAGGAAGCGCGGCAGCCAAUGCUUGCUUUAGACUAAUAAAGAACCAGCCUCAACGCUACCACCUCUGACCUCUAACCUCUAUGCUGAAACAGCCAAGACCCACAACCCCCCCACCCUCCUUCCAGCUCCCCAAACACCAGCCUUUCUAGUCCCACCCAGUCUCCGUCCAGCCAGGAGAGUGCUUCCACACCUCCCUUCUCCAGGCAAUACGUGCGCAGUAUAAUCUGCACCUUGAGCCUUACCACCUUCACCCCCUCGCCAGUCACUCCCCUCCCCCUCCCACCACAUGUAAUGUUGUCUUUGAGUGAUACAGUUGGCAGUUUGCCUCGGCGUGUGUGUGACAGAAGAAGGUGUUUGAAAUGUGCCUCUGGUGGUUUCAGUGACGUGCGUCCUACUGAUGGAGCUGGUUGAAGAUGCUCCUAGAAACUGAUCUCAGACCAGAUGUGUGUUCUCAAUCUGGUUUCAAUUAAGGCAUUUUGGGUUGUAUUACAGAAACGUUCAGGAUAAUUGUACCUGAUUUGGGCAUUUAAAAAACAACAACCGUAGACUUGAGAGAACUUAACUUGUGAGUUAAAAACAAGUUUCUCUAGUGCACCCCCAGAUCUGUAUCUAAGAGUAUCUUCUUUUGAGAGCCAGACAGCCUGUGGACGGAAUAGAUGUUCAUGCAUGUUUAAUUGUGGCUUGAGAGAGGAAUUCUGCACACACGUACACACAAACACAUACAUGUAUAUCUGUAUGUGUGAUCGAAAACGGCUCACUCAAAGACAAAACAUCCUCAACUUUGACUGCCACAGAAAUGCAAGUUUACUUCGUGUGGCACUUUUAUGAACAAGGACAUUUUCUUUUUUUGCAAAUGCAAUGCAAAGAACAAUGACACCCACUACUACACACAGUGGAGGAAUGUAGAGGAGGUAGGCGAUCACUGCUAAGUAGUCGUGUACUAGCUGUAUCUGUAUGAAUGCUUUGUCAGCCAUCAGCCAAGGGUUAUGAAUAGCAGAACAAAAGCCAGAGAAAGGUUCCAUUUUAGUCACAAGCCUCCUCUUUUAGGGUCCUAACGGUGCCUCUUUUGGGCAUUUACCUACUGAAUUUUAUGUAUUGAAUAAGUCAAAAGGGUCAAUUGAAAGCUCAAGGCUUUGAUCAAUCUGAUUAGUUGUGAUUUAAAAGCAGGACGAUAGAAUACAUAUAAAAAGAGGUUAAAGUGCUCAAAUGGAACCAGGCUCAACACGCGUAUUCAAGCUCCUCUGUAGGAGUUCUCAUACGAGCAUGUGCAAUAAUGAUGUUGUUUCUUGAAUGUUCAUGCUGCACCGGGUCUAUUAUUAUUACUUUGCUUGACACUGGAUUAUUAGUCACACUCAUAAUAACUUUAGCACACGAUCAGUGUUACGAUUGUACUUUUCACCAGAGUGUUGAUGCAUGACAGAUUGUAAAAUCUAAGCUAUGGAACAUGGGAUUGCCAAUACUUGCCAAAGUUUGAACUUUGAAAUCUUUACUUCACUUUGCCUUGCCUUAUCCAUGCGAAUGACAAACCCAGGUCUGAUCAGACCGUGGAGACACCGAGGUGUCUUCUUUCAGAGCCACAGAGACGGUAACCGUUAGACAGGUGGAUCAGUGUAUUUCGAAUUGUGUGAUGGAAAUUAGCUCCUUUUUUGGACCAAAACUCAACAGAGUAGAUUUUUCCCACGUGGCCAUAUGCUAUUGUCUUUAUGUUAUUUCUCUUGGUUCAGGCCAUCUUAGCAUUCCCAUGGCAAUGGCAACAUAGGUUAUCAAGUAUAUAGAUGAUGCAAACUUUGGCAGGCUACUGGUAGGAUCAUUGUUCUUUAAUUCACUCACUUAUAACAGUUCAAAUUAAGUUUGAUGUGUUCUUGCUGUACAUUUGCCAUUUUAUGCUGUAAAUAACCGGCUUUUUCUGUAUGAACCUUUGUGUGCGCACGCAUGUGUGUGCCUGUGUGAGUGUGUGAGUGUGUUAAAAAAACAUCCAACAUUUGCUUUUUGCAAAGUUGAUUUUCUGGGUAGCUGUGCAAUAGCUUUAUAUGUUUUAUUUUGAUGUUAAACAUCAUUGUAUUACGAGUAUGUUUGCUGCAUUCACUUCCUGCAAUGUAUGAUUUCUAUGCAGUGUGUGUUAGAGGAUUGUGUCACUGUAUCAAUUAGUCACAUAGGCUGUGUCUGAUAAGAAACCACAAGCUAUGCCUUUACGAUAUUUAAGUCACUGAUCACAAUAUCAUCCACCUAUAACAAAGCUCUGAUUAAUGUUGCUUCGCUUGCCUUUACAUUUAGCUGGAGAGCUUCUUUAAUCUGCUCUGUUGUAGAAAAUGGCCUUGAACUAGUGCUCGUCUACCUGAGAUCUGCCAAAUUAGGUUUUGUUUGCGCUCGAGUCCUCAGAAAAAGACAAAAGUUGCCAAGUAUUUCAAUAGAGAUAAAAAGUUUGAUAGUACCUUUUUGAAAUUUAAGAAGUUAAAGAGAAAUGUUUUGAAGAUUUGUCUACUGUAAAAAAUAAAAAGCCAAUGAACGGAGAGAUUGUGAAACGUUGGAUCCACAAAGCACCUUGUUAGAGCGUAAACAAAGCCUUUUUGCUAUUUGUUAUAAAGAAGGGAAUCAAACAGCAGUUUGAAACAGUGUAUCGCUGGUCCUGCGUUGCGUAUGUAUAUAGUGCUACUUGAUUGGUGCAGCUUUUAUGUGAUUGGAAAGCAGUUUUUUCUGAGUUUGUGCAUAAUGAACUAGAAAGCCGAUACAGGACUCGUAUGGAUCCUGUCUCUGAUGACAGUUAACUGUGUGCGGUGUUGGCAAAAGUAUUAUCAAUGAAAGAUUUUGGGAAAGAAUGAAUAAAACACUUUAAAAGUUUGUGUGGUUUACUUUUGUUCAGUUUUGGUUUUUAUUUAUUCUUUGUUUUAUAUUUGGGUCCCCAUUAGUUUCU